rnacentral:lncRNA from 1 species
CAUAAUCUCACCCACACCUAUAGCUUCACCUACAACUUUUAUUCUUAUACCUGUCAAAUCUGCAUUUCUCAGCCCAGAUUUCUAGCCAUCUCCAGAACAUUUCUCAUAUGUUGCAAUGGAAUGUCAAGCUGAACAAGUGCAAUCCUGAAUACAUUAUUCUUCCCCUAAAACUUGCCCCUUGUUCUGUAUUCUCUGUAUUAUUAUGGCUCUAUUAUUGCCUAUGUUUGUUUAAGUCAGAAACCUAGGAGUUUUUUUCUCUCUCCCUCUUAACCCCAUCAUCUUAGUUCACCCAGCUCUAUUACUUUAACUUAAACUGCCCUGUCCUCUGUUCUCUCCACCCAUACUUUCCUCGUUCAGGCCCUCUCUUUUUUUGUGUGGUGCUGAGGGUGGAUCCCAGGCACUCUACCACUGAGAUACAGUGCCAAACCUUCGUUCUUGCUAGACUCCUACUGGAGCUUUCUUUCUGAUCUCCUACUUCCAUAAUAAGAUUCAAACUCCCUAGUGUGCCACACAAGGCCUUUCAUGUUUUGCUCCCUUUGUACCUGUUGAGUCUUAAACCCCAUGCUCUAGCUAUGCAAGCUAAGUGGAGUUCCUGAAAAGACCAUAGUUUCUCAAGCCUCACUGCUUUUGUACCCACUCUCUUCCACUUCCUCUCCUUGAUCACCUUUUCUUGACUUUCAAGAACCAGCCUGGGCCUUAAGGCCUAAAUCAAGUCUUUAACUUCUCUUCUUGAUCUUACCAUAGCUUCUGUGUUUACCUAGACCUCAUUUUCUCUGAUUAUAACUAUCUUCUCCAUUCCCACCCUUAACUGUACUCUGAGGGCAGAUACUGUGUCUUUUUAUCUUUAUCUUCCAAGAAUCUGACUUAAUAUCUGGCACAUGGUGUCAUCCUCCUUAAUAAAAUUAGAAUUCAGAAACUUGGAAGGUUACCAAUAAAAUGCACCUGGUGAGGAGGGGGAGUUGUAUUAGAAAGCUUGAUUGUCUGCCAAAAUUCACCUCCCUGAGGAAUUUCCUGCCAUUCAUUUCAACUACCACUGCUUGUGUGUCUGGAAGGUUGAUGCAUACAGCUAUCACAGUUGUAAACAAAUACUUCCCUUAACGUCUCACUAUUCUGAUUCAGGCUGAAAACAUCAAGUAAAACAGACCAAAG